rnacentral:lncRNA from 1 species
GAAAUUAAAGACUUUAUAGCCACUAACAAAUGUUUCUGUUUUUAACUUUGACUAUGUAGGUGCACUUCUUCAUGCUUACAAUACCUGCUUUGUUAGAAGAAAUGACAUCUCUCUCUUUUUCUUUCUUUCUGGUGACCUGUUCAGUUUGAGGAUGUCGGAUUCAGUUAAUCAUUAGGUUAUGUGAUGUGAUUAUAGUAUUGUAGUAUUCAAACAGGAUGAAAAUGUGUGGUUAAUCAGAUAUUUCUGCACAAAAAGUUCGUGGGUUAGUAAACCAACUAUAAAUUGGUUAGUUUCUCAUUUGGUUAAUAACAUCAUGUUGUGUUUGCUUUUUUAGGUCACAUUUGGGUUGUCUUGUGGAACCUUCCUAGAAAACAGGAAUAAUAGUAAGAAAAAUGUUUAAUAAAAGUAACUUCACUGAACAGUCAGACUGAAACAGGAGCAGGUUCUCUGGAAUGGUGAGUUCUCUUAUCUCGCGUUGUCCAGCAAGAAUUGGAAAGGUGUAGAGGUAAGUUGUUCUGGCUUUAUUGGAGAAGUGGGUUACAGUAGUCUCUUACAACACCACUUAUCGCUUUGUCAGCUGCAAAGCAAUGGAUGGAUGAAGAGGAGGUUAAUGCUUCAGUGAACAGUGAUUGGAGAGAAAAAACGUCUGUAGACAGUGGUAAUAGAGGACUUUGAAGGUCAGAAAAGCUAGAUGUAGUAUUAAGAGUAGUUAAAAAAUUAUUUCAAAUAUAAAGGACAAGUAGUCAGGGGGCCAAGGAAAAGUGAAUUGAAGUAGAUACUAGCACAGCGGGUUUCCUUCAGCCCUGCAGUGGAAGUAGUUUUCACAGUGAGUUGAAUUCAUAGCAGAUGAUCUGUCUUUUCACAAACAGUUUUAAUUGUUUUAUGUUCCAGUUCGUCUGGAAGUUUUAAUGCUUCCUAUGGAAGUUUCUGACUGUUAUUUAAAACGGAAAUGGUUAGGCUGAUACAUUAGGUUGGUUAGACUUUUUUCUUCUUGUAACUUAUUGUUAAUCAUAUAAACACCUGAACAGAAGUACUUUACCCAG